UGAAUUGACGGGGGCCCGCACAAGCGGAGGAGCAUGUGGUUUAAUUCGAUGAUACGCGAGGAACCUUACCUGGGCUCGAACGUAAGAUGACUGUAGGUGAAAGCUUACAUCUCUUCGGAGCAUUUUACGAGGUGCUGCAUGGUUGUCGUCAGCUCGUACCGUGAGGUGUCGGGUUAAGUCCCAUAACGAGCGCAACCCCUACCUUUAGUUGCCAUCAGGUUAAGCUGGGGACUCUAAAGGAACUGCCUACGCAAGUAGUGAGGAAGGCGGGGAUGACGUCAAAUCAGCACGGCCCUUACGUCCAGGGCUACACACGUGCUACAAUGGCCGAUACAGAGGGCAGCUACCUGGUGACAGGAUGCAAAUCUCCAAAGUCGGUCUCAGUUCGGAUCGGAGUCUGCAACCCGACUCCGUGAAGUUGGAUUCGCUAGUAAUCGCGCAUCAGCCAUGGCGCGGUGAAUACGUUCCCGGGCCUU
rnacentral:rRNA from 1 species